GACUUUGUAGCUCAAUGGAUAGAGUUUUCGCCUCCGAAGCGAAAUAUGGUAGUUCGAAUCUACCCAAAGUCA
rnacentral:tRNA from 1 species